UACAAAGGGGGCAAGCGUUGUUCGGAAUUAUUGGGCGUAAAGCGCGUGUAGGUGGCCUACUAAGUCUGGUGUGAAAUCCCGGAGCUCAACUCCGGAACUGCAUUGGAAACUGGUAAGCUAGAGGACUGGAAAGGAGGGUAGAAUUCCUGGUGUAGGGGUGAAAUCCGUAGAUAUCAGGAAGAACACCGGUGGCGAAGGCGGCCAUCUGGCACGUUUCUGACACUCAGGCGCGAAAGCGUGGGGAGCAAACAGG
rnacentral:rRNA from 1 species